UACACACAUAGAAAACAGAAGGAACACGUGACCGCCCAUUGAAGAAUCUAAAGUUUGGAUUAUACACCUAUAUAUGUACAAAGGUACUGUAAAAUGUCAGAAUACCCGUAAAAUUCAUAUUUUAUGAGCGAUAUCAAAGCGCAAUGUUUAUUCGGGUUUGAAAUAAUACUGCAAACAAAAAAUACAGUUAGGUGUAUAUACCUACCGACCUACAGACGUUAUU